rnacentral:piRNA from 1 species
UCCUACAAAUUGUUUACAGACAGAGAA